UACGUAGGGUGCAAGCGUUAAUCGGAAUUACUGGGCGUAAAGCGUGCGCAGGCGGUCGCGUAAGCCAGAUGUGAAAUCCCCGGGCUUAACCUGGGAACUGCAUUUGGUACUGCGUGGCUGGAGUGCGGCAGAGGAAGGUGGAAUUCCUGGUGUAGCAGUGAAAUGCGUAGAGAUCAGGAGGAACACCGAUGGCGAAGGCAGCCUUCGGGGCCAGCACUGACGGUCAUGCACGAAAGCGUGGGGAGCAAACAGG
rnacentral:rRNA from 1 species